rnacentral:lncRNA from 1 species
AGUUGCUUAGAACUAAGAAGACAGAUAUUUACCCAAGUUUUCUUGGCUUCCUCUUGCUCCCUUGAUAUUCUAGAGUUCCCUGUGGAGAGGGCCAAGAACACACAGUCAAAGCAAAGCAGCAAGUCGUUAAUUUUUAAUUCAAAGUGAUUUUGUGUUGAAUGCAAGCAGAUGCUGAUAAUAUCAGAAGUCACAGCAUAAUUUUUUUUGAUCAAAGGGCUCAAGUGAGCCUGAUGAAGCAUGCAUCUUGCUCGUCUUUGAUAAACCACAUCAAUUAUUCACCGUG